AAUAGUUCAAGUCCUCCUGUUCACGUAAAAAUGUUAUACAUUAUCCUCUGCCCUUUCCCUUCCCUAAAUGCAUAUUAAUAAAUUUUCUUUCUUCGCCAGCAAUCUUUGGUUAUGUCUUUUCUUUACCAGUGACAACCAAUUCUACACACAAAAUCCUCGGCAAGAAAUCAAGAAUCACCGUGCCUGUCCUACCCAAUAUCUCCUUAGAGAGAGAGAGAGAGAGAG
rnacentral:misc_RNA from 1 species